AGUGGGGAAUAUUGGGCAAUGGGGGAAACCCUGACCCAGCGACGCCGCGUGGAGGAAGGAGCCCUUCGGGGUGUAAACUCCUGUUGUAAGGGAAGAAGGCAGUGACGGUACCUUACGAGGAAGCCCCGGCAAACCACGUGCCAGCAGCCGCGGUAACACGUAGGGGGCGAGCGUUGUCCGGAAUUACUGGGCGUAAAGCGCACGCAGGCGGAUGCGCGCGUCGGCUGUGAAAUGCACCGGCUCAACCGGUGCACUGCGGUCGAUACGGCGCAUCUGGAGUGCGGGAGAGGGAAGCGGAAUUCCCGGUGUAGCGGUGAAAUGCGUAGAUAUCGGGAGGAACGCCGGUGGCGAAGGCGGCUUCCUGGCCCGCAACUGACGCUCAUGUGCGAAGGCCAGGGGAGCGAACCG
rnacentral:rRNA from 1 species